rfam:Triticum aestivum genome assembly, contig: Triticum_aestivum_CS42_TGACv1_scaffold_112396_2AS
GUACUACUCCCUCCGUUUGAAAUUACUUGUCACAGAAAUGAAUGUAUUUAGACGUAUUUUAGUUCUAGAUACAUCCAUUUUUGAGACAAGCAAUUCCGAACGGAGGGACUACUAG